rfam:Serratia symbiotica genome assembly, type strain CWBI-2.3T, contig: SYMBAF_Contig_5
GGAAGGAUGGCCGAGUGGUUUAAGGCAACGGUCUUGAAAACCGUCGAGUGUAACAGCUCCCAGAGUUCGAAUCUCUGUCCUUCCG